rnacentral:rRNA from 1 species
GAUGAACGCUGGCGGCGUGCCUAAUACAUGCAGGUCGAGCGAACAGACGAGGAGCUUGCUCCUCUGACGUUAGCGGCGGACGGGUGAGUAACACGUGGAUAACCUACCUAUAAGACUGGGAUAACUUCGGGAAACCGGAGCUAAUACCGGAUAAUAUAUUGAACCGCAUGGUUCAAUAGUGAAAGACGGUUUUGCUGUCACUUAUAGAUGGAUCCGUGCCGCAUUAGCUAGUUGGUAAGGUAACGGCUUACCAAGGCAACGAUGCGUAGCCGACCUGAGAGGGUGAUCGGCCACACUGGAACUGAGACACGGUCCAGACUCCUACGGGAGGCAGCAGUAGGGAAUCUUCCGCAAUGGGCGAAAGCCUGACGGAGCAACGCCGCGUGAGUGAUGAAGGUCUUCGGAUCGUAAAACUCUGUUAUUAGGGAAGAACAAAUGUGUAAGUAACUAUGCACGUCUUGACGGUACCUAAUCAGAAAGCCACGGCUAACUACGUG